CCUCAGCCUUCCUGCUCGGUCUGGGAUUAGCGUUCAUGCCCACGCUUGGGCCUCCUCCCCUUGCUAAGCUGUUGGUUCACCUCUCCCAAGGGUCUGGGGUCUGUGUGGUUCCUUCCUUCUCCCCCUACUGACUUCUCUUGCUUUGGGAUAAUACCACCCCUCCCUCCCCGCUACCAAACAAGCCCUGCGUGCCCCACCCUCUCCUAAGCAACUUACAGGUAUGAACUACCCUGUCUCCGAACAACUCUAUGGGACAUCUCAUAGAGAUCCCCGCAUCUUCCGGAGAACAGAACGCAGGCUCAGUGUGAAGUGACUUGCGAAUGGUCACUCUGGGAAGGGGAGGCCAGGAUGUAGGACGCAUGCUGGCUUAACUCUGCUGCUAUUCUGCCUCACAGCGUUUAGUGUGGAGAGAAGGGCCUUCGCGGCAAUACUAGCCUAGGUGCACGUUGGCCCUCUUGUUGCUGAGCACUCAGCUAGUCCGUCUCACGGAGUUGUUUCGUCGGCAGAAUGGACCUGAAUGUAUUCCUGACUCACAGGGUAGUUUUUACAGGUGAAUUGUGAUCACAGCUGGCAAUCAACCUGGUCCCACAAUGACAUGGAAAGCAGCCCCCUCUGCGGCACCACUGCUGUGCCUGGGCUGUGUAGGAGGAUGGGUAUGGGCAGGGAGGGUGGCGGGCAGUCCCACGUCUGGGGCUCUAGGCUGACGGCGGUGGCUGAGAUGGAGUCAUCCGGACCUCAGGCCAGCCCCCCCAUCUCAUCCCACAGGGCACGGUACGUUCCCCACCAUGUGGCCACCUGUCUGUGACUGUUCACUGUCACUAGAACGAGAGGACCCGUGCCUGCCAAGCUCCAAAGGCGGCUCAUCGUCGGUGGCAAGGUAAUUUCACAGAAGCGAUGUGCGCGGCUGUUGGCCCCGUGCUUGUCCCCACCAUUCUUAGAGCCAUCCACGAAGGCGCCCGGGAGCUCAUCCAUCUCAGCCUGGUACACCUUCUGGUCCACGCACUCCUGGAAGUUCUUGAAGAUGAUGGUGAGCUGCCGGGGAAGAGGAGAGUGGGUGAGGCACAUGGGACGAGGCCCUGCUCCACAGUUAGGAGGGCACGGAGGAUCCCCCAGGGGUGCCCCAGACACCCCUUUCCCGGGUGGGACAGAUGCCUUAGUUCACCUCUGCACCUCACUCUUUAAACCAACUUGGCUUUCUUACUUUAACAAGUGACUUAGAAAAAUGAUAGGCUGCUACCCUAGGUAGAAACCAGCUCUCCUACUGGAUAGGGAAGUGAACCAUAACAAUAAAAGCAUAGAUAAUUAAAAGGUCAGUAGCCCAGUGUGCUAGGCUGCAGAAUGGUGCCUAAGGAGAACAGGCCCUAAUCCCUAUAACCUGGGCAUGUUCCCGUAGAUGGCAAAAGGGACUCCGUAGCUCUGACUGGGUAAAGAACACUGAGAUGAAGACUACCUGGAUGGGCCCUAAAUGGAAUCACAAGUGUCUUUAUAAGAAAAAGGAAGAGGGAGAUUUGACUAAGACAGAGGAGGUGAUGUGACCACAAACCCAGGGAUGCUGGCAACCCUCCAAACCUGCAAAUGGCAAUGAAUGCUUUCUCCCAUGGUGCCUCCAGAAGGAUCAGCUCUGCUCUACCUUGAUUUUUUCUCUGGGAGACACAUUCUCAACUUCUGGCUUCCAUAUUAUACAACAUUUCUGUUGGUUUCAA